CGUCUAUAUACGUAUAGCAUAUCAAUAAGCGGAGGAAAAGAAACUAACUAGGAUUCCCUCAGUAACGGCGAGUGAAGCGGGAAGAGCUCAAAUUUGAAAUCUUCAAGGUUCUACCUUGACGAAUUGUAGUUUAAAGAAGUGUUUUCUGUUGGAGUUUUGGUAAAAGUUCUUUGGAAUAGGACAUCAUAGAGGGUGAGAAUCCCGUAUUUGACCAUUAUUUCCAACUUUGUGAUACACUUUCAAAGAGUCGGAUUGUUUGGGAAUGCAGUCCAAAAUGGGUGGUAAAUUUCAUCUAAAGCUAAAUACUGGCGAGAGACCGAUAGCGAACAAGUACCGUGAGGGAAAGAUGAAAAGAACUUUGAAAAGAGAGUUAAACAGUACGUGAAAUUGUCAAAAGGGAAGCGUUUGACACCAGUGUUGUUUUCUCGAAAAUCAAUUAAAAAUGGUGGGAUUUUGUGUUGUAUUGACUUUAUCAGCCUUUCUGCACUUUUUUCUUGUCUUUUUUAAUGCACUUUUCGUUUAACAAGUCAACAUCAAUUUCUUUUGUUGUAAAAGGGUCAUUGGAAGGUGGCUUUCUUUUCGGAGAAAGUGUUUAUAGCCUUUGACUUCUGCAAGUCGGAGAGAUUGAGGUCUGCAGCGUAGAUCCUUCGGGGUUAGAUGCAUUUGUGCUAAGUUAUAGCCUUUCAUAGACAACUUGUUGACUACGAUCAGUCAUGUAGCUUACUCGCUUAUGCUAUUUUACCUACGCUUAGGAUGUUGAUCUGUAGUGCGUGCGC
rnacentral:rRNA from 1 species